UUUUAUAUAUUAAAUUAUUUCAUGUAUCAAUCCAUACAAGCGUACGCUUUUAUUUUUUUAAUUAAAAAACUUGAUAACAUAUCUUCACGAUUAGAAAAAGUUUUAGUUUUUAUAACCUCUAUGAUAUAUUACGCGGCAAAAUUGAAUCUUUUGUACCAAAAGCUAAUAUUGGUAUAAUUACGAGUUAAUAAUAAAUCUAAAUAUAUUGUUUUUGCAGUUAAGCGAAUAAAGCAAUAAAAAUGCAUUUAAGGUUGUUGAAAGUCACAUUCCAAAAGCCAUACUACAACGAACAGUCAUUAUUCCUAUUUAUUACAAAUUUAUUUGUCAUUUUUAAACCAACAAAAUAUUAAUCGUAUUCGCUUCUUUGAAAGUUUUUUUUAACGCAUUACCUGCCACACACCAAAGGGAGGGAUUCUGGAGACUUAAGAUUAAUUGAAAUACAAGGAAGAGGAUUGUUAAGUACAAGAGAGUGAUUUUUGUCCCCAGAUUCCCUAGGCCUACAUCGACAGAACAUCAGCUGCUCUUUCUUUUCUCGUUCUUUUUUUAUUUUUUUAAUUCGAUCUGAGUAACACUUUAAAUACGUAUUUCUUGUUAAACCGAUCGAGAAUUUAUAAUGUAGCGCAUAAAGAGCCUUGGCAGUGCGCGCUGAAUUGAUUAAAUUCUUUCUUUUGUUCGGAAUAAUACAUGUGUGAGAUGAAUAACGAUCAUCUCAAGAAUGUGACUUAAAAAAUGAGCCAGUCUUAUAUUAACUAAACAUAAAAUGCAUUUAUAAAGGAAUACUAUGUAAAUGUCGUUGUAAACGACAAAAUUGUCUUUGAUGCAUUUGCAUCAGUGACUUUCUUCUUUACGUCUCGUAAAAUAGAUGAAAAGUGCUUCUUGACAAAUAUACACAUUUUGUUCAAUACUGUUGUUGUCUCUCCUAAUCUGAUGAUGGAAAAAAAA